AGUAAAAUGCCUGAAUAAAGGGUUAUCUUGAUAGGAUAAAAUAUGUAAAUUUAUACUUUUACUA
rnacentral:tRNA from 1 species